rnacentral:rRNA from 1 species
CAGUAGCCGCGGGAAUACGUAGGGUGCAAGCGUUAAUCGGAAUUACUGGGCGUAAAGCGUGCGCAGGCGGUUAUAUAAGUCAGAUGUGAAAUCCCCGGGCUCAACCUGGGAACUGCAUUUGAGACUGCAUGGCUAGAGUGUGUCAGAGGGGGGUAGAAUUCCACGUGUAGCAGUGAAAUGCGUAGAUAUGUGGAGGAAUACCGAUGGCGAAGGCAGCCCCCUGGGAUAACACUGUCGCUCAUGCACGAAAGCGUGGGGAGCAAACAGGAUUAGAUACCCCAGUAGUCCCUGUCUCUUAUAC